AGAUUAAGCACUCGACAUAGAUUAUUACAACCUACAGUGUGAGAGAUAAAGAGGAGGCUGCUGUUUUAGAGCUGAAUUUUUCCCCUGUACCAUCGCUGUCACAACAACCACUUCACCCUCCCUCCAGCACACCCCAGAGGACGGAGGCCCCCCUCUCCCUCCUUUGCACUCCAUUCCUCCGAAACGGACCCUUUGAGCAGGUAAACUGGCCCUGCCAUUAGGCCUCGUUUACAGCCCCUUCCCCAGUCCACAGCAGUGGAUACCCUACCAGACACCACCACCACCACAACCACCACCACCACUUCCCCCGAUACAUUGUAAUCUUGCCGAGAUGACGACCAAUGAGAAGCAGCAGCAGCAACAGCAGGGAGGAGGUGUUUCUCCUAAUGUCACCCUCACCAUCAGACUUGUCAUGCAGGGAAAGGAAGUAGGCAGCAUAAUUGGCAAGAAAGGAGAUACAGUCAAGGGCUUUCGAGAAAAGGUAAGUGGACAGUUUAUUUAAUUCACUUUAUUAUUUUAUUUCCAGAGAAGAAAGAACAAAUAAAUACAUGGGUAGGAUUAACUAUCACCAUCAGAAUUAUCUGCAUCUUGUCACCAUAUUUACUGUGUUUACAUGCUGCCCUGGCUUGUGGUGCAGAUCAGCGAGCUGGUGCAAACUCGGCUUGCGGGUUAUCUUGCGUCGCAUUUACACGCUGUCCCAGCUCGCAGUUCAGAAUCGGCUCACGGGGCAACAACAUAGAUCAGAGGAUAAAAUUUACUUCAUGAAACACGCGCUAAUUGUCGGGGCAGACUUGACUUCAUGUUUACACAGAGAAAAUUGCCGUGUCUGCACCGGCUUGCGGGUCUGAUCCUACUAUUUUCGCGGAACAAAAUUGCUGUGUCUGCACCGUGAGCCGGUGCAAGUUAAUCGCGUGUACACUCAUAAAAAAGGCGAGUCUGCAUUGGCUGGCAGAUCUGCACCAUGAGCCGGUGCAGUAUGUAAACAUGGGAAUUGACUUACAGGAUUGUUUUCAUAGAGUGUUCAUAACAACAGAUUUUCUGUACUGCAAAACUUUUAUUAUUAAAAAGGCACAAAAUAUUGUGGGUUGUCAAGGCAUCAGAAAAAGAAAAGAAAUCAUCCCUUUUGCCUCUGUAUUUCCUUUAAACUAGGAAUUUGUGUGUAAUAUAUAUUGUUUGAGAAAAAGAAUGUCACAAAGCCAUAGCUUUUGUUCUAUGGUCCUAUAGCUAUGCAAAACCACCAACAUCUAGUAAUACACAAAGAUCACCCCUUAAACAUACCUGUAACAUGCACCCAUCCCCCCCCCCUCCCACCCCCAAAAAGGG